rnacentral:rRNA from 2 species
GACGAACCGUGCGAACGUUGUUCGGAAUCACUGGGCUUAAAGGGCGCGUAGGCGGGCCACCAAGUCCGCGGUGAAAUCCCCCGGCUCAACCGGGGAAGUGCCGCGGAUACUGGGGGCCUCGAGGGAGGUAGGGGCGUGCGGAACACUGGGUGGAGCGGUGAAAUGCGUUGAUAUCCAGUGGAACUCCGGUGGCGAAGGCGGCACGCUGGACCUCAUCUGACGCUGAGGCGCGAAAGCCAGGGGAGCGAACGGG